GAAGAGAACAGAAAAGGGACUCCGAGGUGCUGCUGACUCUCCAGUUUGCGUCUUUGCACUGUGUUGGAGGAAAUUGGUGUAUUCAAACUUUGUCUACUGGAAUCAGUUUGAUAGAGCAUUGAGCAGCAAUCGUAUUUUGCUUAAGGAAGCUCACUGCAUACAGUUGUUGCCAAGGCAUAACAGCAGAUGUUAUUUGAUGAACACACUGGAGACAAGACAUGAGUCUUUGAGUAUGGCGUCGGAGAGGGGCAGCCCUAGCAAUUCCUGACCUGUACAUUUCCACGUCGGUGUCACGUGAUCACAACAUCUAUGGGACCCCAGAAGUACUGAGAUAGAGUUGCUUUGUCCUAAAAAAUUUCUCAGACGGAUGGUAAAUCGUCAAAGGUUUUAGCUACCUGGGAGAGAAAACCAGUUGGAAUCACAGUAGAAACUGUGAAUUUUAAAGUAUCAGUAAAGAAUGGAGCUUCUGACUCCCAGGCCGACUAUGUACCAGGCAGCGUGCUAGAGCAUCCCAAGCCAGGAAACAAGAGCGCUCUUAUAAGGGGUAGAGUACCACAUGAUAGCCUCAAAGGUCACGAUUGAAGCAUUUUCUGAUUGAGUAGAAGGGAGAACACUGAAAUGAUAAGUCUGUGAGAAACAAUUUUUUGAUGAAUCAAAAUCUAAUGUGAAACUGGCCCCAAACAUUGAUGCUCAAGCAGACAGACGUAAUAUAUGCAGAUUAUUAGGGGGAAUUUU